GGGGGUGUAGUUCAAUUUGGUCAGUAGCACCACCCUGUCACGGUGGAAGUUGCGGGUUCGAGUCCCGUCACCCUCG
rnacentral:tRNA from 2 species